CUAGUUAAUUAAUUAGCAUAUGAGUUAUUAGUCCUUGCUGCAUAAAGUUAGCUACUAUUUUGAUUCUUCAUUUUGAAAUUUAAUUUCAUGGAUGCAUAACUAGACACGAAAAUUUUGUCUAUAAUUUUGAAAAAAACUUCAAAUGUCCUAAAUCUACAUUGAAUUGGAGACAUUGAGAAUCAAAUCUGCUCUUAUCAAAACUUUAGGGACUAAAAUUGCACAUUUGCUAAACAUUGAGGACCAAAUUUACUUUUACCAAAACUUUUAGAACUAAAACAGCAUAUAGACUAAAGAUUGGGAACUAAAACUUCGUUUCUUCCUUAACACAUUAUUAAUGACUAGUGGUUGAGGUACACCUAAUGUAUGUACAACUAAGAAAAAGAUACUGAAAAAGAUUAGAAUUAUUAUUUUGUUGGAAAGUAAUAGUUUAGAAUAGUUCAAAUGCAUUUUAGUAUUUUAGAAAAGUGGUAGUUUUUUUGUUAGAGAAGUGGUAGUUAAUUCAUAGAUUUGGUGUGUUCGGGUAGUUGAAAUGGUAUAACUGCCUUUAGAAAUAAGGAUAAAUUAGGCAAUACAUUAAAUGAUACAAUUUAUUUACACCAAACCCCUCCCUCCCACUUAACGUAUAGUGUAUAUAGUAUAGUAAGAUAUGUUUGCAACAAGUACUCUCUUUAAUUUGUGGCACGUUUUUCCUUCUCAAAUUAUAAGAAACUAAUCAACUUUAAAAAUCAAACUCAAUUCACCUUUUCUAAACUACUAAAAGAAAAAACAAUGGAAAUGACACUAUAAAGGUACACGAUAGGUUGGUCUAAUGGUUGGAGGAGGGUUUUUUAGAGUCUUUCCUGCCAUCAAAUUCACUUAGCUAUACCUUGGAACAUUAGUUCAAAAUUUCAAACUCUUUUUUGGUAAUAAAGAAAAUUUAAAUGUCGCUAUAAUAUGAUUAAUUGAUCCUCCCACGUGGUCACAAUUUAGAAGAAUCCCUUGAGACCAUUAUUGCUUAUGUGAAACUCACAUGAAUGAUAAUCUUCAGGAGCUGAACUGGCAAUGAUUUCCGAUUCUUUUCUAGUUUAAAGGAUAAGGUAAACAAUUUUAAUAUUUUAUCCGGCUUUUGACGUGGAAAAUCUAUCUAAACUUUCAUCCACGUUAAACAAAAUAAUACACAAAGAAAUGAAGCUUAAGGUUUAAUCAUUGGGACCAAUCAAUCUCUAUAUAUAUAUCUUUCACCAAUUGAGAUGUUUCUAAUCAUUUUCUAAGAUUAUUAAAUUUUUUAAUAAAUUUGAUUGAUGCUAUCCAGUGGCUAUUGUUUACUAAAUUGAAACUCCAAAUCUCAAUAUAAUAUGGGACAUAAAAUUAAAUGCCUAAAUCGUCACUUUAUUUUGAAAAUUCAAAUUGUUUUUAAGUAUUUAUAAUUCCGUGGUUAGCACGGAAUAAAAAGCUAGCUAGUAAAGAGUUAUAAAGGAAAAAUAACUCUUGUUUUCUACAAGAACAGAGAAUGAGCAAAUCUAAAUUUCAUAGCAACCAAAAUGAAAACUACCAUGCACUACGGUAUCCACCAGAGGAAUUACUAGAGCUACUUGGAACUGAUUGUAUAGGGGUUACUACCCCCCCCAAGAGCUCUAUAAGAUACCAAAAAAAAAAAAAAAAA
rnacentral:lncRNA from 1 species